UGCAAGUCGAGCGCGAAAGCACUUCGGUGUGAGUAAAGCGGCGGACGGGUGAGUAACGCGUAGGAAUCUACCUAGUAGUGGGGGACAACUCGGGGAAACUCGAGCUAAUACCGCAUACGCCCUACGGGGGUAAGCGGGGGACCUUCGGGCCUCGUGCUAUUAGAUGAGCCUGCGUUGGAUUAGCUAGUUGGUGGGGUAAUGGCCUACCAAGGCGACGAUCCAUAGCUGGUCUGAGAGGAUGAUCAGCCACACCGGGACUGAGACACGGCCCGGACUCCUACGGGAGGCAGCAGUGGGGAAUAUUGCGCAAUGGGCGAAAGCCUGACGCAGCCAUGCCGCGUGUGUGAAGAAGGCCUUCGGAUUGUAAAGCACUUUCAAUUGGGAGGAAAGGCUCACGACUAAUACUCGUGAGCUGUGACGUUACCUUUAGAAGAAGCACCGGCUAACUCCGUGCCAGCAGCCGCGGUAAUACGGAGGGUGCGAGCGUUAAUCGGAAUUACUGGGCGUAAAGCGCGCGUAGGUGGUCUGUUAAGUCGGAUGUGAAAGCCCCGGGCUCAACCUGGGAACUGCAUCCGAUACUGGCAGACUAGAGUGCGGGAGAGGGAGGUAGAAUUCCACGUGUAGCGGUGAAAUGCGUAGAUAUGUGGAGGAAUACCAGUGGCGAAGGCGGCCUCCUGGCUCGACACUGACACUGAGGUGCGAAAGCGUGGGUAGCAAACAGGAUUAGAUACCCUGGUAGUCCACGCCGUAAACGAUGUCUACUAGCUGUAGGGGUACUUGAGACCUUUGUAGCGCAGCUAACGCACUAAGUAGACCGCCUGGGGAGUACGGCCGCAAGGUUAAAACUCAAAUGAAUUGACGGGGGCCCGCACAAGCAGUGGAGCAUGUGGUUUAAUUCGAUGCAACGCGAAGAAC
rnacentral:rRNA from 1 species